rnacentral:rRNA from 1 species
GAUGAACGCUGGCGGCGUGCCUAAUACAUGCAAGUCGAGCGAAGCGGGCACGGGUGAGAAAAACGUCGAUAACCUCCUAUAAGACUGGGAUAACUUCGGGAAACCGGUGCUUAUACGGCUACUUUUAGAUGGUUCCGCGAUGCAUUUGCUAGUUGGUCAGGUAACGGCUUACAAAGGCAACGACGCAUAGCCGACCUGAGAGGGUGACCGGCCACACUGGAACUGAGACACGGUCCAGACUCCUACGGGAGGCAGCAGUAGGGAAUCUUCCGCAAUGGGCGAAAGCCUGACGGAGCAACGCCGCGUGAGUGAAGAAGGUCUUCGGAUCGUAAAACUCUGUUAUUAGGGAAGCGUUACCUAAACAGAAAGCCACGGCUAACUACGUGCCAGCAGCCGCGGUAAUUC